CCUGUAUGAAUUAUCAUGUGUCUGUUCAGGUUACUCUUUCGUCCAAAUCUUUGACCACACUCAGCACAGCUAAAUGGCUUUUGUCCUGUAUGACUUAUCAUGUGUGAGUUCAGCUGGCUCUUUCGUCCAAAUCUUUGACCACAUUCAUAACAGACA